rnacentral:rRNA from 1 species
CGUUUGAUUCUAUUUUGUUGGUUUCUAGGAUCGACGUAAUGAUUAAUAGGGAUAGUUGGGGGCAUUAGUAUUCAAUUGUCAGAGGUGAAAUUCUUGGAUUUAUUGAAGACUAACUACUGCGAAAGCAUUUGCCAAGGAUGUUUUCAUUAAUCAAGAACGAAAGUUAGGGGAUCGAAGACGAUCAGAUACCGUCGUAGUCUUAACCAUAAACUAUGCCGACUAGGGAUCGGAUGAUGUUAUUUUUAAUGACUCAUUCGGCGCCUUACGGGAAACCAAAGUGUUUGGGUUCCGGGGGGAGUAUGGUCGCAAGGCUGAAACUUAAAGGAAUUGACGGAAGGGCACCACCAGGGGUGGAGCCUGCGGCUUAAUUUGACUCAACACGGGGAAACU